rnacentral:rRNA from 1 species
AUUGAACGCUGGCGGCAGGCCUAACACAUGCAAGUCGAGCGGAUGAAGGGAGCUUGCUCCUGGAUUCAGCGGCGGACGGGUGAGUAAUGCCUAGGAAUCUGCCUGGUAGUGGGGGAUAACGUCCGGAAACGGGCGCUAAUACCGCAUACGUCCUGAGGGAGAAAGUGGGGGAUCUUCGGACCUCACGCUAUCAGAUGAGCCUAGGUCGGAUUAGCUAGUUGGUGGGGUAAAGGCCUACCAAGGCGACGAUCCGUAACUGGUCUGAGAGGAUGAUCAGUCACAUGGGAACGGGGACAGGGUCAAGAGUCCUACGGGAGGCAGCAGAGGGGAACAUUAGACAGCAGGCGGAAGUCUGACACAGCGAGGCCGAGUGUGUGACAGAGAUCUUCGGAGCGGAAAGCCCGUUUAGUGGUGAGAAAGGGCAUUAGCUUAUUACCUUGCGGGUGUGACGUUACUAACUAAAGAAGCACCGGCUAACUACGUG